rnacentral:rRNA from 1 species
AGUGAACGCUGGCGGUAGGCCUAACACAUGCAAGUCGAACGGCAGCACAGUAAGAGCUUGCUCUUACGGGUGGCGAGUGGCGGACGGGUGAGGAAUACAUCGGAAUCUACUUUUUCGUGGGGGAUAACGUAGGGAAACUUACGCUAAUACCGCAUACGACCUACGGGGGAAAGCAGGGGAUCUUCGGACCUUGCGCGAUUGAAUGAGCCGCUGUCGGAUUAGAUAGUUGGCGGGGUAAAGGCCCACCAAGGGGCCGAUCCGUAGCUGGUCUGAGAGGAUGAUCAGCCACCUUGGAACUGAGACACGGUCCAGACUCCUACGGGAGGCAGCAGUGGGGAAUAUUGGACAAUGGGCGCAAGCCUGAUCCAGCCAUACCGCGUGGGUGAAGAAGGCCUUCGGGUUGUAAAGCCCUUUUGUUGGGAAAGAAAAGCAGCAGGUUAAUACCCCGCUGUUCUGACGGUACCCAAAGAAUAAGCACCGGCUAACUUCGUG